UACGUAGGGUGCGAGCGUUGUCCGGAAUUAUUGGGCGUAAAGAGCUCGUAGGCGGUGUGUCACGUCGGCCGUGAAAACCUGCAGCUUAACUGUGGGCGUGCGGUCGAUACGGGCAUCACUGGAGUUCGGUAGGGGAGACUGGAAUUCCUGGUGUAGCGGUGAAAUGCGCAGAUAUCAGGAGGAACACCGGUGGCGAAGGCGGG
rnacentral:rRNA from 1 species